rnacentral:rRNA from 2 species
GCUAGGGGGUCAUCCCGACUUACCAACCCGAUGCAAACUACGAAUACCGAAGAAUGUUAUCACGGGAGACACACGGCGGGUGCUAACGUCCGUCGUGAAGAGGGAAACAACCCAGACCGCCAGCUAAGGUCCCAAAGUCAUGGUUAAGUGGGAAACGAUGUGGGAAGGCACAGACAGCCAGGAUGUUGGCUUAGAAGCAGCCAUCAUUUAAAGAAAGCGUAAUAGCUCACUGGUCGAGUCGGCCUGCGCGGAAGAUGUAACGGGGCUAAACCAUGCACCGAAGCUGCGGCAGCGACACUAUGUGUUGUUGGGUAGGGGAGCG